GGGGCUGCGCCCCCGCGGGGGGGCGGCGGCGGCGGGGGGGGGGGGGCGGGGGGCGGCGGGGGGGGCGCGGGAAGGGCGACGCGGCGGCUCCGCACGGACACACCGAGAGAGAGCAGCGGCGGGAGGAGCGGCGGGAGCGGAGGAUGAGGAGGAGGAAGAUGAGGAGGAGGAGGAGGAGGAGGAGGAGGAGGAGGGAGGGGCGGGGGCGCGCGCGCGCGCUCCCGACUCGAGGCGGCCCCGGUGGGGGAGUGCGGGGAGAGGAGAGCGGAGAGGGAGGGAGGGAGGGGUGGGGGGGGGUGGCGGUGGUGGUGGUGAGGGAGGGAGGCAGGCACGCGGACGGCGCGUGCGCGUGCGCGCGGCGGCGCCACGCGGCCGCGCACGUAGCGCGCGCGGGGGGUCGAGGAGCGGGAGGCGGGCGCGGGGGGGGGGGCGGGGGGGGGGGAAGGCGACGGGAGGAGUUGCGUAAGCGGUGGCGGGAACUGCGCGUGCGCAAAGCCACGCCCCGAGCGGCCGCGCCUCCUCUCUGGGCCACGCCCACUCUGCGCGCGGCUGCUGGGCACGCCCCUCCCCCCGUAACGGGGAUCCCGGUAAUGGGGGAUCCCGGUAAUGGGGAUCCUGGUGGGCCCCGGUAAUGGGGAUCCCGGUAACGUGGGAUCCCGGUAAUGGGGGAUCCCGGUAAUGGGGGAUCCCGGUAAUGGGGGAUCUUGGUGGGCCCCGGUAAUGGGGAUCCCGGUAACGGGGGAUCCCGGUAAUGGGGGAUCCUGGUGGGCCCCGUUAAUGGGGGAUCUCGGUAAUGGGGAUCCUCAUGGGCCCCGGUAAUGGGGGAUCCCGGUAACGGGGAUCCCGGUAAUGGGGAUCCUGGUGGGCCCCGUUAAUGGGGGAUCCCGGUAAUGGGGAUCCCGGUAAUGGGGGAUCCCGGUAAUGGGGGAUCCCGGUAACGGGGGAUCUUGGUGGGCCCCGGUAAUGGGGAUCCCGGUAACGGGGGAUCCCGGUAAUGGGGGAUCCUGGUGGGCCCCGUUAAUGGGGGAUCUCGGUAAUGGGGAUCCUCAUGGGCCCCGGUAAUGGAGGAUCCCGGUAAUGGGGAUCCUGGUGGGCCCCGUUAAUGGGGGAUCCCGGUAAUGGGGAUCCCGGUAAUGGGGGAUCCUGGUAAUGGGGGAUCCCGGUGGGCCCCGGUAAUGGGGGAUCCCGGUAACGGAGGAUCUCGGUAAUGGGGGAUCCCGGUAAUGGGGGAUCCCGGUAAUGGGGGAAUCCCAGUAACGGGGGAUCCUGGUGGGCCCCGGUAAUGGGGGAUCCCGGUAAUGGAGGAUCCCAGUAAUGGGGAUCCCGGUAACGGGGGAUCCUGGUGGGCCCCGGUAAUGGGGGAUCCCGGUAAUGGAGGAUCCCGGUAACGGGGGAUCCUGGUAAUGGGGAUCCCGUUAAUGGGGGAUCCAGGUAACGGGGGAUCCUGGUAAUGGGGGAUCCCGGUGGGUCCCGGUAAUGGAGGAUCCCGGUAACGGGGGAUCCUGGUAACGGGGGAUCCCGGUGAGCCUUGGUAAUGGGGGAUCCAGGUAAUGGGGGAUCCCGGUAACGGGGGAUCCCGGUAAUGGGGGAUCCAGGUAACGGGGGAUCCCGGUAAUGGGGGAUCCAGGUAAUGAGGGAUCGGGGUAAUGGGGAUCCCGGUAAUGGGGGAUCCAGGUAACGGGGGAUCCCGGUAAUGGGGGAUCCCGGUAAUGGGGGAUCCAGGUAACGGGGGAUCCCGGUAAUGGGGGAUCCCGGUAAUGGGGGAUCCUGGUGGGCCCCGGUAAUGGGGGGCUGGCAGAGUGCACCCCGGUAAUGGGGGAUCCCGGUGCACCCCGUCUGGGUGGGGUAAAUAGCACGGUGCACCUCGUUAGCAGGGGGCUCCCAGGUCACACAGUUUGGGGUGACAGUGACAUGGGGCACCCCAUUAGUGGAGCCUCCCAGUAUUCCCAGUUCAGGGGGAUGACGGCUCCUGGGUCUCCCGGUGCACUCAGAUGGGGGGGCAGAGCUGGAAUGGUGCCCCCGUUAUUGAGCCGCCUUUGUUCUCCUCUAUGUUUUAAUUUUAUUGAUCACUUUUUCCAGCAGAUCCCAAACCAGCAGUGCAUGGGAUUUCUCCAGGGUUCCCAUUAUCCUGCCCAGCCCUCUGAGAACUCCUCGGCUCCUGUCACUUCUAUGUGGAGGACACAGGUCCCUUUCUCCAGGGAUUCAGCCACUUCUGUGCCCCCCAGACCCAGAUAAGGCAGCGGAGCUCAGGGUGUAGCUAUCGCCAACCUCCAGUGCUGAAAAAUGGUGAAAUCAGAUAAAAACCUCUUGGAUUUCACCACAAAAAUGGGAUGUGUGGAGCAGGGAGGGGUCCUGUCCACCGGGCUUGUCUGGGCAGCGACGUGGGGUUGGUUUUCUCCCCACCCUAAACCAACAACCACUCUCUUCCUCCUCUUCCUCCUCCUCCUCUUCUUCCUCAUGCUUGAAGUGCAGCAUCCAGGUGAAUCCUGGGUGUUGCAGGACUUCCAGGAUAACCCUCCCAGGAAAACCCUUUGUGGCCAGGCUCACAUCCUACAAAUAAAAUAAAACAAAUAAAUAAAAUCUGAAUUUCUUGUGCAGGAAGACCCCCAAGGUCUCCUGCAGCCCUUGGGGGCUCCCCCAGCACAUUCCAGGGUCUCCUGGAAGAUGCUCCGUGAGGAAUCCAGCUGGAAAAGCCAUGCACACGGUGCAGAGAGCAGUAUUCCAGGGAAAUACUGCAGGAUGGCUGGUUGGGAGUGUGACAAACACCAGCAGGAAGCUUAAAAAUCCACAAUAAAGGCUUUUAUAUGGGAAAAAAAUAAAAGGAAGGGUGAAAAAUUUCUGUCGCUUCUGGGGUGGCAGCCUCAGCCGUGCUCUGGAGUUUGGAUCCAGGAACUCAUCCGCUGCCUCCAUGAGGCGUUAAAUAUGGAUUUAAUUAAUCUCAGCCCACAAAAGUGCUCUGAAGGGCUUGGGGGUGCCACAACCUCCCUCGUUUUAAGGAGGAAGCACAACUGUCAGAAGCUGGGAAUCAUCCUUAGCCUUCCACCACUGGAAACUGGGAUUGAACCUUGUUUUUUUUAUCCCAUUCCUUCCCCAACGAGAUUUAUUUUUGUGUAAAAGUGGUAAACUUUGCUGUUUAAAAAAGAUAAGUCAGUGCCGAGCCAGGGAGGGAGGGAGCAGGGAUUCAAGGCAGGAAUGGGGAUUUGAGGAAGGAACGGGGAUUUGAGGAGGGGAG
ensembl:lncRNA